rnacentral:sRNA from 1 species
AUGAAUAACGAAGGUCUCUGUUUAUCCGAAGAAGAGGUAUAGCGUGGGCAGCAACAGUGCAAACUUUCCCCUCAUUGCCCCACCCUGCUCGGGAAUAACCAGCUACCCGGAUUAGAAGGGCAUUCAGUCUAUGCCAGGCAUAA